GUGGUAAUGCCGGAUGUUCCAGUUGAUCGCAUGGUCUUCUGGGAAAGCUUUCGCGGUAUGGGAUGGGGUCGCGUCCUAUCAGCUUGACGGCGGGGUAACGGCCCACCGUGGCUUCGACGGGUAGCCGGCCUGAGAGGGCGACCGGCCACAUUGGGACUGAGAUACGGCCCAGACUCCUACGGGAGGCAGCAGUGGGGAAUAUUGCACAAUGGGCGCAAGCCUGAUGCAGCGACGCCGCGUGAGGGAUGGAGGCCUUCGGGUUGUAAACCUCUUUUAUCGGGGAGCAAGCGUGAGUGAGUUUACCCGUUGAAUAAGCACCGGCUAACUACGUGCCAGCAGCCGCGGUAAUACGUAGGGUGCAAGCGUUAUCCGGAAUUAUUGGGCGUAAAGGGCUCGUAGGCGGUUCGUCGCGUCCGGUGUGAAAGUCCAUCGCUUAACGGUGGAUCCGCGCCGGGUACGGGCGGGCUUGAGUGCGGUAGGGGAGACUGGAAUUCCCGGUGUAACGGUGGAAUGUGUAGAUAUC
rnacentral:rRNA from 2 species